AGUUAAUAUCCAGCUCAAUAGAUUGUCACCAACCAUGUGCCUAGAGCUAACUGUGUUAAGAAGAGCAUGCUUCAAGUGGCUGGAGUGAGCAAUUCAACUUGUGGAGGAAUGAGAAGUGACAGUGUUGAGACAAGCAACAUAAAACCCCAGGGAUGGCUGUGGGGAUCAAGGGAGACAGUGGCCAUAGGGAUACUAUGUUAACUGCAGAUGCGGCUGUAGGAGCACUUUGCUAACUUCCAGCGUGAGUUCAGACCCUUCAGGCUAUUUGGCACCCAGAUCUAUGGUGAGGUGUGACAUAUGGGAUGUAAAGUUUGAUGCCUGCUCCGACUCCAGUCUUGCUAACACACACGAAACCUUUGGUAAAUCAUGACCCUGCCUUGGGGAAAAGGGCAGUCUGGGAGAGCUUCUUCAAGGCAGCCUGGCUUCAAUGCAGUCUGGGGCAUGACUGAGGUAGGCAUACAUGGUGAGGAACUGGAGGGUAACUGGGUAAAGAGCUGCAGUGUGGGCAGAGGUGUAGUGUGGGUCACAUCGCGGAUAGCCACUGGCCAAAGCAGGGAACAGAGACAGAAUGAGGA
rnacentral:lncRNA from 1 species